rnacentral:rRNA from 1 species
AUUGAACGCUGGCGGCAGGCCUAACACAUGCAAGUCGAGCGGGGUUUUCGGACCUAGCGGCGGACGGGUGAGUAAUGCGUAGGAAGCUGCCCGAUAGAGGGGGAUACCAGUUGGAAACGACUGUUAAUACCGCAUAAUGUCUACGGACCAAAGUGUGGGACCUUCGGGCCACAUGCUAUCGGAUGCGCCUACGUGGGAUUAGCUAGUUGGUGAGGUAAUGGCUAACCAAGGCGACGAUCUCUAGCUGGUUUGAGAGGAUGAUCAGCCACACUGGAACUGAGACACGGCUCAGACUCCUACGGGAGGCAGCAGUGGGGAAUAUUGCACAAUGGGGGAAACCCUGAUGCAGCCAUGCCGCGUGUGUGAAGAAGGCCUUCGGGUUGUAAAGCACUUUCAGCGAGGAGGAAAGGUUGAUGCCUAAUACGUAUCAACUGUGACGUUACUCGCAGAAGAAGCACCGGCUAACUCUGUGCCAGCCGCCGCAGUAAGAC